AUUGAACGCUGGCGGCAUGCUUUACACAUGCAAGUCGAACGGACUUAGGUGCUUGCACCUAGGUUAGUGGCGAACGGGUGAGUAAUGCAUCGGAACGUACCGUGUAAUGGGGGAUAACGCAGCGAAAGUUGUGCUAAUACCGCAUACGAUCUACGGAUGAAAGCAGGGGAUCGCAAGACCUUGCGUUAUACGAGCGGCCGAUGUCGGAUUAGCUAGUUGGUAGGGUAAAGGCCUACCAAGGCAACGAUCCGUAGCGGGUCUGAGAGGAUGAUCCGCCACACUGGGACUGAGACACGGCCCAGACUCCUACGGGAGGCAGCAGUGGGGAAUUUUGGACAAUGGGCGCAAGCCUGAUCCAGCCAUGCCGCGUGAGUGAAGAAGGCCUC
rnacentral:rRNA from 1 species